UGCGGGGUCGUCUAAUGGUAGGACAAACCCCUUUGAAGGAUUAUAUCUUGGUUCGAAUCCAAGCCCCGCAGCCG
rnacentral:tRNA from 1 species